rnacentral:miRNA from 5 species
GUGUUGAAACAAUCUCUACUG